rnacentral:rRNA from 1 species
UACGUAGGGGGCAAGCGUUGUCCGGAAUUAUUGGGCGUAAAGAGCGUGUAGGCGGUCCGGUAAGUCAGCUGUGAAAGUCAAGGGCUCAACCCUUGAAAGCCGGUUGAUACUGUCGGGCUAGAGUCCGGAAGAGGCGAGUGGAAUUCCCGGUGUAGCGGUGAAAUGCGCAGAUAUCGGGAGGAACACCAAUGGCGAAGGCAGCUCGCUGGGACGGUACUGACGCUGAGACGCGAAAGCGUGGGAGCGAACAGG